rnacentral:tRNA from 1 species
GGCUCGGUAGCUUAGUUGGUAAAGCGCUCGUCUGGCAUAUAAGAGUCCUGGGUUCAAGUCCCAGCCGAGCAC